UACGUAGGGGGCAAGCGUUGUCCGGAUUUAUUGGGCGUAAAGAGCGUGUAGGCGCCAGACAGGUCCGUUGUGAAAACUCGAGGCUCAACCUCGAGACGCCGAUGGAAACCGUCUGGCUAGAGUCCGGAAGAGGAGAGUGGAAUUCCUGGUGUAGCGGUGAAAUGCGUAGAGAUCGGAAAGAACACCAACGGCGAAAGCACUCUGCUGGGCCGACACUGACACUGAGAGACGAAAGCUAGGGGAGCGAAUGGG
rnacentral:rRNA from 1 species